rnacentral:sRNA from 1 species
UUAGUAAAAAACUUAGGUUUAAAUUUUAAGAAAUAAUAAGGAAGGUUUGGAAAUUUUUAAUUUAUUUGCACGGAUCCCAAACUAGUAAUUUUCUGGCAAUACCGUUCCGUAUUUCCAUUAAGCGGGUAAUUGUUACGACCAAAGUGUUGGAUCGGAAUUAAACAGGCCAGGUGGGCACGAGCAGGACCUAGGAUUAUAUAAGGACAAUAUGACGUAACAUCGCGUAAUUUCCAGGAAUCGAUUUAGGGUGAUUUGACGUACAUUAACGUACACGUACAGCCAGAUUUAGUGGGUAGGAGAGCCAUAUAUUGGUGUAGGCCGUGCCAUUUGUGCUAGAACGCGUGUUGGAGCUUUUAUCGUGCUUCUAACGCUGAUUCGGCGCUUGUUGUCAUAUGACGACAAGAUUUAUCUGAUUAUCUAAUGCAAUAUAAUUUCUCGAGUUUAGGACAAACGCCAAGAAUAGUGAUCUCAAAUGAUCUGUAAAAAUCAAGGGAGAUUAUAUUUGGACCAACAGACUGUAUAAAGACACACUUAUUACUAUAUAAAUAACCUUACUUCUAGAUUGCUUAGUAGUAAUUAAACUCUAGUUAACCUUAAUAUUUAUUUGAGACCGAUUAUAAUUUCACAUUAGUUAUUAAGAACCCCAGUUACCCAGUCAGACGCUCAUUUGCUUCAACCCACAAUACGUUACCAGAAGAACAAAUUACCCCGAUAUUUUAAUCGUAACAGUAGAGCCCAUUUUCCUUAGGUUACAAUUAUGUCGGCACCUGGUUAACUCGCACAAUGUUGUAAAAUUGAAAGGUUAUCUGGGGUGGGGGAAAAUAAUAAUGUGACUUAUUUUUGCGGUUUGUCGGCAUUACGUUAAAGUAGCUAGGUGCAUAUUAUAUAAAAUUCCCGGAUUAAUUUACCAAUAAACCCUAUUAGCUCCUUAAUUUAUUGCAACAGUUUUUAAUUGCUUAUAACAUUUCUUACCCCUGCUUUAUAUUCCUGAACCCGUGCGGUAUUCAACGUUUUGGCCUUUUCCCAUAACGUCUCGUUUUUUGGUCGACCCUUCCAUUUUACCAAAUAUAUAACGUUUCCACCCAAUUUCUUAUUAAAUAGCUGCACUCCCGCAUAGCUUCCUUCGAAGGUUAACUCGAAAUUUUUUAUAAGGUUUUUGCUAAUAUUUCCUUGUGGUUCCCACGUAUUAUCUUUAUAUGGGAAUCCCUUUCAUUUAAUAAGGUAAUUAGGUUUCUUUUUUGGACCCUAUUUUGCGAAAAAUUUUUCAACUUCCCAUAUAUCUUUUAUUGCAUCGAAUGCAACUGGUUUUUUGUCCAAUUAAUUUGAGGAAACUUUAAUCGGUAUUUCCUGUAAUAAUGGGGCCGUUAUUUUGUUUUUACCUUUGUUAAAUAAAUUAGGGUUAUUAAAAAGCUCCAAUUUGAACGUUGCGACGUGUGUUUCGGCAAAUAUAAGGUUUAUUAGCUUAGUAGGUCUGCCGUCAAAACCUAUAUUGGGGGUAUUAGGCAAGGCAGGUUAUAAGUUCCACGACCCUGGAAAUCCUGGGUCCUUAAAAACUGGAGCGUAUCCAGGUAUAUUAUAGUCAUUUUGGGAAAUACAGGAAUCCAUUAGGGAAUUCGGAACCGUCGAUAAGGCCUAAUAUCGUUUAUUCUAACUGGACGAAAUAAAUUUACCGGCGCUGGAGUAAGGCGAUAUAAUAAACGUAAAUGGCGUCCUAUUAAAUUAUAUUAAAAUUGAAACGUUUAGGAUUAAAAAUGCACAGGUUAACAAAUAUAAUAGCAGUUGUAUGCUCGGAUGUUGGCGCCGCAGCAAUUGCUGAGUUUAAAGCUGAUAUUGUUCUGCGUUUUCUGGCAAAUCGGACCGAUUUAGCUCGGUUAUAUUUGUUCCCUUUAGCGCUUAACGUACGUUUUUUUAAUGGAAUAUUGUCGACGCUGUGGAUAUCCUUGUAAUAAUACCAAAGGUUUUCCGGUAAAUUACUAAAGCAGAACAGUCUGGAUGUGGGCAUUGGAAACUGUUAAAACUGGGUCCAGUUUUUAUAUAAUUAGUGACGCAUUCCGAGAUAUGUAGUCGCCAGAUUUUUAAAUUUAUAUAUGUUUUUAUCCGCUCGCUCGCAGGAAGAUUUGUCCUGCCUAAAUAAACAGGAUAAUAUCCAGCAUACGCAUAGGCGUGACGGAAAAUAACGGGAUUACACCGAAAUGGUAUAUCCCCGCUGUUAAAGUGCUUUUGGCAGUGGUGUUCCCAUUCCUGUUUAUCCGUAAUCCAAUUACUGCAUAAAAAACAAAAUUUGGCGAAAUUAUGGUUAAUUUUGAAAUAUUUUUCGAAACAGCGAUAUAUAUGCAACCACUUUUGCGAAACGUGGAGGCUAAAGACCAAUAUGAGAAAUUAGCAGCGUAUUCUGGGAUAACUAGCGUUUGCUGUUGGUACAUUAUAUUUUGCAAUUACUUUUCAAUUUUUUAAUUGCAGAACUCCACAGGACAAAUGCCGUUUUUAGGCCUUAGACGAAAUUGGUAUGCGACCCGCCAAUCCCCUGUUCGAAAAGCAAUGAGAUCUUCCAGCGUUAAAAUGCCUGUUGAACUUCGAAAUGUUUUUCUUCGACCCAAGUUUUUGAGUAACCUUUGGCGUUCAGGUAUUAUAUACAUUAUGCGAGAAAGGUGGCCCCAGCGCAAAUCGCUUUGAUUAAUUGCAAAUCGUUGGUAUUCUUGCAAUUUUCGUCGCAUAAAUUUUCGACGAUCGUCGUACGUUUGUUUGCGGUAGGUUAUAUGUUGCUCGAAUUCCUUUAUGGAACCCCCGCGGCUAAUAAAAUUGGUGUAUAUAAAGAUUUGUUCUAUUAUACCUCGAGAAAAGGUUUUCGAGGAGAAACUUGUUCGACAAUUAAUCCCUAGUAAAUACAGUUUUUUAAAUAACUUGGGAAACGGAAUAUUGCAUAUU